rnacentral:rRNA from 1 species
GUGGGGAAUCUUCCGCAAUGGACGAAAGUCUGACGGAGCAACGCCGCGUGAGUGAAGAAGGUUUUCGGAUCGUAAAGCUCUGUUGUUUGAGACGAAUGUGCAGACUUUGAAUAAGGGUUUGUAAUGACGGUAUUAAACGAGAAAGCCACGGCUAACUACGUGCCAGCAGCCGCGGUAAUACGUAGGUGGCAAGCGUUGUCCGGAAUUAUUGGGCGUAAAGGGAGCGCAGGUGGGAAUGUAAGUCAGUCUUAAAAGUGCGGGGCUCAACCCCGUGAGGGGAUUGAAACUACAUUUCUUGAGUGCAGGAGAGGAAAGUGGAAUUCCUAGUGUAGCGGUGAAAUGCGUAGAGAUUAGGAGGAACACCAGUGGCGAAGGCGACUUUCUGGACUGUAACUGACACUGAGGCUCGAAAGCCAGGGGAGCGAACGGGAUUAGAAACCCUUGUAGUCC